UGGUUUACAUGAUACUAACACUACUGGGAUAAAUAAAUAAAACCAGGCAAGCUUGCGAAUUCUGGAGCCGGGGGGACAUCACAGCACCGGUCCAGAAGCUGCCUCGUUCCUCGUUAGCCUGCAAUCAUGGACCCGGGGUGAAAGGAUAUAGCAUCCGUACAGCAAACUUCCGGGAGAGAGUUUAUCAUGUCCGGCAGUCACAUUAAUCAGUUCCUGCGGUAAAGAGAUGGAAGGGACAAAAUGAUGAAUAUUAUCACUCUAAAACUUCUAGUGUCUAAAACAUAGCUACUGUGAACUAUGUUGUUUCGGUAUGUAUAUAUCCAAUUGAAGCAUUUACAAGCUAUGAUGUGUUUCCUUUAUUGAUUCAGCUGCUUUGGAUUAGUUUUCUUAGUAAACAAUUCUGUCAGCUGCAUCAGGACACUAGGCUGCAAAGCACCUAAAUAAUGAUGAAAUUAGUGACCAUGAAACAAACCUUUGUGAGGCAGAUCUUUGGGGAUAGGAAUAACCUGCAUACAGAAUACCUCUCGCGUUACCUGCACAUCCCCCAUACCAUCAUAAUUUUACCAUUUUGCACAUUUUGAGAAUCUUAAAAAUAUAAGAAGACUGCCUUUAAACUUUUUUAUUUAUGAUAACAGUACAAACAUGUGGAUGGGAUUUUAAAUUGGUACUCCUUCUGUUCAGAAAUAUAAAAUGUUUUGGAUAUUUCAACAUGGACUACAUUCAGACUGAAAUGAGUGAACAAACACACUAAAACGUGUCUAUACAUCCGAUUCACAAGAUAGUGUUGCAGAACAUCUUAUAUUUGUGAACUAAGGGAGUGCAUGCUAGGAAAAUAAACUGAUAUACUUCAUCAGUUCACAAUUAUAAGAUGUUCCAACGUUUUUCUGGUCCAGAUGUAUAUAGACGGAUUUUAGUGUCUUUGCUCACUCAUUUCAGUAUGUAUGUAGUCCAUAUUGAAAUAUCCAAAACAUUUUAUAAUUAUGAACGGAGGGAGCACAUUACAAAAGAAAAUGUCAACACUUUUCUUGACUAUUUUACACAUAGAUGAGUAUAAGAGUUAACCUACCAUGCUGUGUGUGCCCUAUCAUUUAACAUUGUCAUUUCAUACUCUGCAUAUACAAAUUUAUCUAUUAUGACGCAUGUGCUUAUUAUUUAACAAGAACAAACAACUGAGUUAGAAAGUUGUGCAAAUUUGUGUGUUCGUCAUGAGCUCAGAACUGGUUGCUUACCGAGUCAUAUGCGGAGAAUUUAGUUUUAUUGUGUACCAAGUGGCUAAUCAGCAAUCAGAGACUAUGUAGCUAGUACUGACUGUUUGAAAACUUCAUAUAAGAACAUACUCCCUCCGUUCCCUCCGUUCCUAAAUAUAAGUCUUUUUAGAGAUUCAACUACAAACUACAUACGGAUGUAAUAUAGACAUAUUUUAGAGUGUAGAUUCACUCAUUUUGCUCCGUAUGUAGUCUAUAGUGGAAUAUCUAAAAAGACUUAUAUUUAGGAACGGAGGGAGUACAUGGCAAAAUGAGAAUAUGCCAAUAGGGUUACUUUGCCCUUUGUUUUAUUCUCUUUUAUUUAAGGAAACAUAUAAAUCGAGCCCAUCCAAACAACCGCUGCUUGUUGUGAACCUGCAGUUGCUCUGUUGAUUAAUGUUGCAUUGUUGCUCUUGUUGAUUUGUUGCAUGGCAUGGCUGGGUCUAAAAGUAAGAAUGCUAAUGUUGACAGCGAGGAGGGUUGUAGGAGGCUUCUAGCUAGAAGUGCUUCAGCAAUUGGCUUCUAAUUUCAAAACCAAAAAGUGGAGUCAAGAAUGCAAUUGUGCUGUGUUAUUUCUUCAAGGCAGAAAUAAAACAAGACCAAAAUCAAAAGAGAGGUCUGCAUGUCCGCAUGUUCGUCACGAGUUAGAACUGGUUGCUUACGUUUUUCUAUUAUCACAACUGCAGUGAGUCUCGCAAUCAGAGGGUCAGGUCGGUGGUAUAGAUGGUUGCAUGUCAGGUUUACGACCACCAUCCCACUAGCGUGACUAAUCAGCGAUUAGGCAUAGGACAUUUAAUAGCACUGCUAAGUGUCUAAAAGGUGCAUAUAAGAAGUACUCCCUCUGUCUCAUAAUACAAGAUUUUUUGACACUGUGAUAAGUGUCAAAAAACAUCUUAUAUUAUGAGACAGAUGUAGUAUAUAUAUGGCUAAAGAGAAUACGCCAAGUGGGUUACUUUGCCCUGCCUUCUAUUCUUCUUUAUAUACUCCUACAAGGAAAAGUUACUACACAAACAAACAACUAGGUAGGGUGCGUGCACAGAUUCUGUCUGCGUGUUAGAUAGGCAGCAAGCUGCAAACGGUCCAGCCCUGAGAUACAAUUUGCUUACUUGUCGACAAGCCUAGGCUCGCACAGGAAUCGUCAGCUUACUGAUUCCAAGAAGAGUGGCAUCAACUUGCAAAGCUUCAGUCUGCACCGGCCUCGAAUUAGGCACUGAUGAAAAUAUACCCUAAGUCCCAUCGUCUUGCCUACCAAGGCUUUGAAAUCCCGGCAAAAAACCAAUUCACUCCUGCAAAGGAAGAUUGGAGGAUAAGAUUAAUAACCAGCCUCAGCGGAUCAGUAUAUCGACCGUAGAUCACUAAAGCGAGCAGCCUAACACAAAUUACCGAGGAAACGAACC
rnacentral:lncRNA from 1 species